rnacentral:rRNA from 1 species
GACGAACGCUGGCGGCGUGCUUAACACAUGCAAGUCGACCGGAAAGGCCCUGCUUUUGUGGGGUGCUCGCGUGGCGAACGGGUGAGUAACACGUGAGUAACCUGCCCUUGACUUUGGGAUAACUUCAGGAAACUGGGGCUAAUACCGGAUAGGAGCUCCUGCUGCAUGGUGGGGGUUGGAAAGUUUAUGCGGUUGGGGAUGGACUCGCGGCUUAUCAGCUUGUUGGUGGGGUAGUGGCUUACCAAGGCUUUGACGGGUAGCCGGCCUGAGAGGGUGACCAGCCACAUUGGGACUGAGAGACGGCCCAGACUCCUACGGGGGGCAGCAGUGGGGAAUAUUGCACAACGGGCGGAAGCCUGAUGCAGCAACGCCGCGUGCGUGAUGACGGCCUGCGGGUUGUAAACCGCUUUCGCCUGUGACGAAGCGUGAGUGACGGUAAUGGGUAAAGAAGCACCGGCUAACUACGUG